rnacentral:piRNA from 1 species
UGUCCCCACCGGGUGCUGAGUUCCGUGC